rnacentral:rRNA from 1 species
AAAUAGAUACCCCGGGUAGUCCACGCCGUAAACGAUGAGUGCUAAGUGUUAGAGGGUUUCCGCCCUUUAGUGCUGCAGCUAACGCAUUAAGCACUCCGCCUGGGGAGUACGGCCGCAAGGCUGAAACUCAAAGGAAUUGACGGGGGGCCCGCACAAGCGGUGGAGCAUGUGGUUUAAUUCGAAGCAACGCGAAGAACCUUACCAGGUCUUGACAUCCUCUGCCAACCCUAGAGAUAGGGCGUUCCCCUUCGGGGGGACAGAGUGACAGGUGGUGCAUGGUUGUCGUCAGCUCGUGUCGUGAGAUGUUGGGUUAAGUCCCGCAACGAGCGCAACCCUUGAUCUUAGUUGCCAGCAUUUAGUUGGGCACUCUAAGGUGACUGCCGGUGACAAACCGGAGGAAGGUGGGGAUGACGUCAAAUCAUCAUGCCCCUUAUGACCUGGGCUACACACGUGCUACAAUGGAUGGUACAAAGAGCUGCGAACCCGCGAGGGUAAGCGAAUCUCAUAAAGCCAUUCUCAGUUCGGA